UGACUGUGCUUCACAUAAUGAACCUGAUCCAUGACUGAGUUCAUUUGUCAUUCUUCAAAACUUCACCUGUUCUUGGGCCAACAUGAGUAAUCCUGGUACUACAUGUAUUUUGAAGCUAGAUGAUAAUCCAAACACAAUGGUCAAAGGCAAAAAAUGAUUCUUAAGGCUCUAUAUUUGCUAUGCAGCUUGUAAACAAGGGUUCUUUGCAAGAUGUAGACCAAUUAUAGGGGUUGAUGGAUGUCACUUGAAAGGACAUCAAAAAAGUGGGCUACUAUUGACUAUUGUAGGUGUUGAUGGAAAUAAAAACAUGUAUCCAAUUGCAUAUAUUGUAGUAGAAGGUGAGUUAAAAGAAAAAUGGUGUUGGUUUCUCACUCUUCUUGAUGAAGACCUAGAAAUCUCACAAAACCCUUUUGCAUGAACUUUUAUAUCUGAUAAGCAAAAGGGUCUACUUCCAGCUUUUGAUGAGGUACUUCCAGAUGUUGCACACAGUUUUUGUGCAAGCUUUUGAUGAGGUACUUCCAGAUGUUGCACACAGUUUUUGUGUGAGUCACCUGCACGACAACUUUAAAAUUGAAGGUUUUGGGGGACAAACACUGAAGGACGUCCUAUGGAAAGCUGCAAGGGCAACUACUGAAGCUCAAUUCCACAAUUAUAUGGAAGAAAUGGAAAAGUUGAAUUCAGAAGCCCCUCAAUGAUUCAAUAAUAAGCCUCCUAUUCACUGGUCCAGAGCUUUUUUCUCUUUCUUUCACAAAGUGUGAUAUGCUAUUGAACAAUUUAUGUGAAUCGUUCGAUACCGUAUUAUUGAUUGCUAGAGACAAGCACAUUUUGACAAUGCUCGAGUCAAUUAGGUUGUACAUGAUGUCAAGAUUUCAGAAGAAUAGAGAUAACAUGAUGAAGCAUAAGCACAAAAUCUGUCCAAAAAUCUUGCUGAAGUUAGAGCAAAAUAAAUCUAAGGCUGCUGAAUGUAUUGCCACUAAAGCUGACCAGUUCCAUUACCAAAUUGAGGACAUUUAUCUUAGACUAUUCUCUGUUGAUCUUAAGGAGAUAACAUGUUCUUGUAGGAGAUGAGAGUUAAUUGGAAUACCUUGUCAUCAUGCAAUUGUAGCUGUAUGGGUUAAAAAGGACGAACCAGAAAUGUAUGUCCAUGAAUGCUACAUAACUGAGCUGUAUAUGAAGAGUUAUGGACCCUCAAUCCUGCCAAUUAAUAGCUAUGAAGAGUGGCCUAAGACAGGAGUAGAACCAGCGCUGCCACCUAUUUACAAAACUCAGCCUGGUAGACCAAAAAAAUUAAGAAAGAAAGGAUCCGAUGAAACAUCUUCAAAAGAAUCAGAUCAUAAAAAGCAUAACUCGUUAAAAGCAUCCAGAAAAGGAAAAAAAGAAGAAUUGUGGUACAUGUGGAAAAAUAGGACAUAAUAGUAGAAGAUGUCCUAUUAUCAUGCAGAACCACCAAGAAGAUGUUCAACAACGACUUGGAAGAGAAGACCCUUCUAGUGAACCAAGCAAUAUAACAGAAGUUACAAGUAUUAUCGAUGAGAGUCAAGCAUCAAUGCAGUCUAGUUCCUCAUUUGUGACUAAACAACCAAUCAAUUAACUUAGCCAGCACAUGGCACAACCUAGAGAGCAAUGAAAGAGUUCGAUAUUCAUUUUACUAGAAAUUGGCGAGGACUCUAGGAAAGGUACAAGCUCACUCUUCAUCACGAGGGGGGAAAGACAAUAUGUUCCACCAUCAAAAUUACAGGAAGUACUUUCUCAAACUAGCAAGAGAGGAAGAAAGGGACACCUUAAGAAGAGAGCUACUGGCUCAUCAUAAAUAUAAGAAAUCAAGAAAAUGAUGAACAAGGAAUGUGUGAUUUCAGAUCUAUUUCUUCUGCGAUGACUUUAAAGUUAGUUAUAUUCUUGGUGAUGGAUAUGUAUUUUAAACCAAAAAUCUUUACCAACUCUUAUGAGAGCAACGAUGGAGGAUACUGCAUCAGCACAAUGAUGCCAAGCAUUGACUUUUAUUAGUCCACUGCCAAUCUUAUCCCACUCUCUUUGUUAUCCAGUAUAAUCUACAAGAAAAAAUUAUAUAGAAAGCAUAUGUAGAGGGACAGAAUAGCAGAAAAAGAACUAUUU